rnacentral:tRNA from 1 species
GGGAUAUAGCUCAGUUGGUAGAGCGCUUGGUUCGCAUUCAAGAGGUCAGCGGUUCGAAUCCGCUUAUCUCC